CCCACAGGCAGUGGGGGAGCCGAGGCUACUGCCUCUGGGCGCCACACCAGGAGCUCUGGUUCUCCCCAGGGCCCCAUGGUGGCCGGCUGCUCCAGUGACUCUCAGACCUGGGAAGAGAGCGCGGGGGGAAUGGUCAUGAGACAAAGGCCAGGAAAAGCUUUCUGGACACCAGGAAUCAGACCAUAUAAGGAACUGAAACUGUCCUAAAAACAGCUGAGCACACACCUGCAUUCCAUCUCCUUCCAAGCCACCGACUCAGCCCCCAAGUCCACUGACGACAAAAGUUUCCUGCCAGCGACUACAUAUAAGGAUGAAACUCCAGCUCCUGGGUGCUGCCAUCAUCGACCCAAUGUCCCCUUGGCUCAGUGCUGUGCAGCCCUUCCCUUUGGGUAUCCCAUCCCUCAUCCCCUUUUCCUAAAUAAAAUCAUUUUUUCUUUA